rnacentral:rRNA from 1 species
UACGGAGGGUGCGAGCGUUGUCCGGAAUCAUUGGGCGUAAAGGGCGCGUAGGUGGCGCGGGCAGUCAACGGUGAAAGUUCGGGGCUCAACCCUGAAUCGGCCGUCGAUACUCCCGGGCUUGAGCACUGUAGAGGCAGAUGGAAUUCCGGGUGUAGCGGUGGAAUGCGUAGAGAUCCGGAAGAACACCGGUGGCGAAGGCGGUCUGCUGGGCAGUAGCUGACACUGAGGCGCGACAGCGUGGGGAGCAAACAGG